rnacentral:rRNA from 1 species
CCUACGGGAGGCAGCAGUGGGGAAUCUUGCGCAAUGGGCGAAGGCCUGACGCAGCCAUGCCGCGUGGAUGAUGAAGGUCUUAGGAUUGUAAAAUCCUUUCACCGGUGAAGAUAAUGACUGUAGCCGGAGAAGAAGCCCCGGCUAACUUCGUGCCAGCAGCCGCGGUAAUACGAAGGGGGCUAGCGUUGCUCGGAAUUACUGGGCGUAAAGGGAGCGUAGGCGGACAUUUAAGUCAGAGGUGAAAUCCCGGAGCUUAACUUCGGAACUGCCUUUGAUACUGGGUGUCUUGAGUGUGAGAGAGGUAUGUGGAACUCCGAGUGUAGAGGUGAAAUUCGUAGAUAUUCGGAAGAACACCAGUGGCGAAGGCGACAUACUGGCUCAUUACUGACGCUGAGGCUCGAAAGCGUGGGGAGCAAACAGGAUUAGAUACCCUGGUAGUCCACGCCGUAAACGAUGAUUGCUAGUUGUCGGGAAGCUUGCUUCUCGGUGACGCAGCUACGCAUAGUACAUCCGCCGUGGGAGGUACGGUCGCGAGAUAAACUACGAAGAAGUUAGUAGNGUUGAGAGNGCGAGGACGACGACGAGGGAGAGG